UUAAAAACAACUAAAGGCUAUCGAAAGGCCAUCUCUCUCAGAAGGGACUUCACCCAGAACGACGACUCUGUAACAACCAUUGAAAGGCAUCCAUCGACCGCCGACUCUGCCACCAUCCCGCCGUCAACCUCCGCAGUAGAACCUCCGACUCUGUAACAGCUACGGCCGUCAACAACCACCUCCUUCUACGGCCGUCAACAACAACCACCAUCCCGCCGUCAACAAAAUCGUUCCAGCUCUUCGACUAGUUCCGAGAUUUGAUUUUCUUUUUUCUUCAACCAUAAACUUUAUCUCCUCCACCCGAAACAACCACCUCCUUCUAUUAAUCCAAGCUCCACAUUUUCAAAUAGUCCCAAAAUUUUAGGGUUUUUUUCUCGACUAAGCUCGACCACCUCUUUUUGCAAUUUCUCAAUAGUUGAGCCAUAAUUUGCAGAUUCCAUUAGUGAGGAAGAAAUUGCAACUGAUAGCUGUGGGAUAAAUCGCGAUAAGUUUUUUUAAUCUCUUUUUAAUUUAAAUUUUAGAUAACCACAUUCGAUAGUUGUGUUUUUGAAUGAAGAUUUUAGUAUUAAUGUUCGUUAUUAUCCGAUUCAACUGAUUUUUAUUUUUGGGAGUAUUUGAGCGACAUAGUGUGAUUGAAUGGAGAUUAAACACACUGGUGCAUGUCUUCUUAUUGUGCUUGAAAUUGUGAAUUUCAUUGAAAUUAUGCUUUACGUUGGUACAAUUGAUAGGUUUUGAUUCUAUAUUUUGUUAGAUAUGUCACUGUUUGAUUCAGUUGUCUUUGUUAAAAAACAUUUUCUUGUUCAACUUAACAGCUUUAAAGCUGUGAGUUUUUUCUACUGAAGCUUUUAAUCUAAGUUAGAGUUCUAUUAGGAUUUUGUUGUACUAUAAUUUCUCCCUUUUUGUUCUUGAUAUCUAUGAGUUCUUAGCAUAUAUGUGACCUUACUUAGCACAGUUUAAUAUCUUUUCAUUAUAUACUGAAGUCAAAAGGUGAGCAAAAACCUGAAUAUGCUUGCUUGUUACAAGUAGAUAUCCAUGUCCCUUAUUUUGCCACGCUAAUGAUUUUUCUCAUGGUUAGCAACCAUAAGCCAGAAACUAAAGGAUAUAGUUUCUCAUUGCUGGUUGCAGGCUAAUGAUAGUAUUAAAUAGUUGUUUCUGUGUUUGUUGUUGUAACUUAGCUUCAAUUGAUAUGUUACAAUGCUGUUUGAAUAAGUCGUGUUAACUAGAAAAUGGUAAGGGCUUUCAAUCGCGAAACCUUUUCUGAUAUAAUGUUGACUUGGAAUUUGCUAAGGAGCAGAUAUAUGCUGCUGCAACUUUCUUUUCUUUCAGAACACUCUGAACUCAUAGCUGAUAUGAUUUCUUAUUGUCGAAGUCACCAUUAAAAUUGUAUACACAAAGUGAUACAUAUCUCUACGUAGGCUAAACUGAUCAUAUGUUUUCUUCUCAAUGUGGCAAUACUAACACUAUUUAGAAAUCAUGAGCUUCUUGAUCAGUUUUAGAUUCCAUCCGGAGUUUUGUAGGCGAAUUGUGGUUAUUUAUAUUACAUGAACUCAGUUAUAGGUGAAUAUCUGAUAUAAGCACAUCUAAUUGCUAUCUUGUACAUCAAAGUAAAUAAAGAGUCCAUGUAAUCAGGUGGCUAUUUAGGUUUUCACAUUAUACUUAAUUUCAGCCUAAUUUACUUCAAGACAUAGACUAGCCAUCUUUCAUCUGUCUGCAAUUCGACGAAUAACAGGAUCUUUGUGAAAUUGGUGAGAAGGGCAAUGCAUCUUUGGCACCUAAUGACCAGUAGGAUACUCCUCCAUCCGGCACCUAAUAUUAGCUUGUGUUAUAUAAGAAAUCAGUGGUGCUCUUGCAGCAUAGUGGUAACAUGUAUAUUUAGGCUUUACAGGUAUCAUGCAUUUCCAGAGUUGUACAUAGUUGGAUCUUCUUCAGAUGCUAAUGAUGAGAGGAUGCAACAGAAAAUGGAGGAAAUGGAAGAGAGGAUGCAACAAAGAAUACAGGAAAAGUUGAACGAACAAAUGUGGAGUAGAUCAAGAAAUGAAUGAUGAAGGCAAUGAAGAACUAGACCUUGAGAUGAAUUUUGAAUUGCUAUAGAUGAAUGUUCUAGGAAUCUUUUGUUAUCAACAUUUUUUAAAGUUACUCUCUUGAAAUGUACUAAACUUAUGCACUUGGGGUAGAACAUUUGCUUUAUGGAUAUUAUUUGCUUGAUGGAUAAUUUAUAUUAUUAAUAGUUUCAUUUUA